rnacentral:rRNA from 1 species
CACGUAGGGGGCGAGCGUUGUCCGGAUUUAUUGGGCGUAAAGAGCUCGUAGGCGGCUCGGUAAGUCAGGUGUGAAAACUCUAGGCUCAACCUAGAGACGCCACCUGAUACUGCCGUGGCUAGAGUCCGGUAGGGGAGCAUGGAAUUCCUGGUGUAGCGGUGAAAUGCGCAGAUAUCAGGAGGAACACCAGUGGCGAAGGCGGUGCUCUGGGCCGGAACUGACGCUGAGGAGCGAAAGCCAGGGGAGCAAACGGG